rnacentral:rRNA from 1 species
UACGGGAGGCAGCAGUGGGGAAUAUUGCACAAUGGGCGCAAGCCUGAUGCAGCCAUGCCGCGUGUAUGAAAAAGGCCUUCGGGUUGUAAAGUACUUUCAGUCGUGAGGAAGGUGUUAAGGUUAAUAACCUUAGCAAUUGACGUUAGCGACAGAAGAAGCACCGGCUAACUCCGUGCCAGCAGCCGCGGUAAUACGGAGGGUGCGAGCGUUAAUCGGAAUUACUGGGCGUAAAGGGCACGCAGGCGGUUAAUUAAGUUGGAUGUGAAAUCCCCGGGCUUAAACCUGGGAAUGGCAUUCAAGACUGGUUAGCUAGAGUCUUGUAGAGGGGGUAGAAUUCCAUGUGUAGCGGUGAAAUGCGUAGAGAUGUGGAGGAAUACCGGUGGCGAAGGCGGCCCCUGGACAAAGACUGACGCUCAUGUGCGAAAGCGUGGGGAGCAAACAGGGAUUAGAUACC